ACUCCUACGGGAGGCAGCAGUGAGGAAUAUUGGUCAAUGGUCGCAAGACUGAACCAGCCAUGCCGCGUGCAGGAAGACGGUCCUAUGGAUUGUAAACUGCUUUUAUACAGGAAGAAACCCCUCCCACGUGUGGGAGCUUGACGGUACUGUAGGAAUAAGGAUCGGCUAACUCCGUGCCAGCAGCCGCGGUAAUACGGAGGAUCCAAGCGUUAUCCGGAAUCAUUGGGGUUUAAAGGGUCCGUAGGCGGCCUUAUAAGUCAGUGGUGAAAGCCCAUCGCUCAACGAUGGAACUGCCAUUGAUACUGUAAGGCUUGAAUUAUUGUGAAGUAACUAGAAUAUGUAGUGUAGCGGUGAAAUGCUUAGAUAUUACAUGGAAUACCAAUUGCGAAGGCAGGUUACUAACAAUGGAUUGACGCUGAUGGACGAAAGCGUGGGGAGCGAACAGGAUUAGAUACCCUGGUAGGAUAGCG
rnacentral:rRNA from 1 species